AAAGAAGACAGGCCGUCCAGCCCGUGCCCGCCUGCGGCGGGGGCACCCAGCAAGCCCGCCCACCGCCCGCUGCCUCACCUGCUUCGCCACAGACUCUUGUUCCCAGCCCCUUGGGGCCUCCGUGUUUGGGGUGGGGGAGCUGCUUAGAGACUGUGCCCGUCCUCGGCCCCCCACCCUGAAGUGCCAGCACCACCAGCACCAGAUCCUCCGCCGCCACACCG
rnacentral:lncRNA from 1 species